UACGUAGGGGGCAAGCGUUGUCCGGAUUUAUUGGGCGUAAAGAGCGUGUAGGCGGUUAGAUAGGUCCGUUGUGAAAACUCGAGGCUCAACCUCGAGACGCCGAUGGAAACCAUCUAACUAGAGUCCGGAAGAGGAGAGUGGAAUUCCUGGUGUAGCGGUGAAAUGCGCAGAUAUCAGGAAGAACACCCGUGGCUAAGGCGGCUCUCUAGUACGGUACUGACGCUGAGACGCGAAAGCGUGGGGAGCGAACAGG
rnacentral:rRNA from 1 species